UGGCUCAGAUUGAACGCUGGCGGCAGGCCUAACACAUGCAAGUCGAACGGCAGCACAGUAAGAGCUUGCUCUUACGGGUGGCGAGUGGCGGACGGGUGAGGAAUACAUCGGAAUCUACUUUUUCGUGGGGGAUAACGUAGGGAAACUUACGCUAAUACCGCAUACGACCUACGGGUGAAAGCAGGGGAUCUUCGGACCUUGCGCGAUUGAAUGAGCCGAUGUCGGAUUAGCUAGUUGGCGGGGUAAAGGCCCACCAAGGCGACGAUCCGUAGCUGGUCUGAGAGGAUGAUCAGCCACACUGGAACUGAGACACGGUCCAGACUCCUACGGGAGGCAGCAGUGGGGAAUAUUGGACAAUGGGCGCAAGCCUGAUCCAGCCAUACCGCGUGGGUGAAGAAGGCCUUCGGG
rnacentral:rRNA from 1 species